AGGCCGGCGACUGCAGGCGGCGGGCCCGGGCCUCGGUCCUCUCCUCAGCCCUGAGCAGCCUAUUAUGAUGUUGAAAACCGGAUUUCCAAUUAUUAAGUCAUCAGCAGAAGCAACCUCAAGCACUAGUGCUCCUUUCUGCCUUGGAACCAAGACCAGGACCCCUACUCCCUGAACUGAAGGCCAAGAGGAGCCCAGUUGCAACUGUCUUCCAACUCCAAGGUAUAGAUACUUGCUGUCAUUCCUUUGACCUGUGUCUUCUGACCAAGCCCACCAUAAGCUUCUUGUUUCUAAUCUCUUGAAGAAUAAAUGGACUCUAGUACUAUUCCGACUCUUAUUUCCAUUUGUUUGAGAGCUAACCCAGCUUUUAAUCAGAGAGGAGGUACUAAAUCUUCUGAAAAUGUCUGUGGCCCCUCCAGGCAGAAAUACAUCUUGCUCUUUCUUUUGAUGGUACUGUGAGAUUUGUCAGUGCACAGAAAUUGUAAAGAUCGCCCUGUUCUCCAGUCUUCCCCAAACCUUCAGAAUAUGCCCAGAAUGACCAAGAACAUUUGCUAUUCCUUGCUAUAGGACGAAAGCCCAGAAUUUCAAGCAUGUUGGUACAAGUUUAAAAGGAGGAUUUGCUCUGUUUUCUAGUCCAGUUUUAUAAAGGUCAGAGAAACAGAACCCUCUUUGGUGUCUUAUUUUCCAAAGGAAACUUGGAAAAAUCUUAGUACUAUUUGAUUAAAUUUCUAUGGUUUUGCACAGAUACUUUUUGCCCUACAAAUGAUUUAAUUAAUUAGCGAGGGAUGAGUUAGGUUUUCAAACUGUUCAUCUACAUACCAUUAGUAUAACUGGCUAUUCAAAGUAUGGGUCAGUAAAAUCAAGAAUGCAAUGCAGUUUUAGUGUUAGAAUCUUCUGGAGAAUGUGGAGCAACAAACUCAAUAAAUAUGCUAGAAAAAUUGGUUUUAAGGCACUUUUUUCCUUCAUUGCUCCAGUAUUAACUUUUCAUGGAGGAUAGUCUAUAAUAGAUUUAUUAAUUAGGUGCUGUCAAAUAAUGUUUACAGUAUUGCCUACUGUGCUUGAUGGAAUCAUUUCCUUUAUAACAUUUUUGAAUAUUUUGUUAAAAUAAAUUUAACAAGUAUAAGUAUUUGUAGUCUUAAGAACAGUAUGAAUGGAAGGAAUAAUUGGUCUAAAUUUCAGGAACUAAAUAUUAUGAAUGUGGCCUAAGCUAGCAGGUUGGUUCACAGUGCAGCUGCCAAAUAGAAGAAUUGCAGAAGAAUGAAUGGGCUCCUAGGAAGAGGUAGUAGGUUGCAUAGUUUUAGGGCAGGGAUUUUGCCCACAAGCAGUUAACUAUACAACCUGCUGCCUUUCUUAGGGCUCUAUGAUUACAACGGAACCUGUUCUUGCCUCAGUUUAAGUAGAUGUCUCCAUGUUAAACGGGGGUGAGGGUGGGAGAAAAAUAGAGCUAUACAAAAAGCACAAGUAUAAUUAGUGAUGUAUAUUGAAGUAACAGCAGGUUUGGUCACAGCCUGCAAUUACUAGGAUUCCUCAAUAAAAAUCAUAGCUACUGAAUUUAUUUAGGUAUCAAGAACAUUAGCCUAACGAUCUGAAAAUAGCGGUUGGGUUCACAAGAUGAACUUGGACGAAAAAUCUAUUUAGUUGUAUUUAAAACUUCUUUAUUAUUUAAUCCAGAGAGAUCAGUGUGUUUAUUAUUGAUGAGGUAUAUAUUCAUGUAACCUAGGUCUUUAAUAUUAAGUCUAGAUGUGUCACAUGAUAUUGUUUAAUUUUUGUGUGUGGGGGGGUGCCUAUAAAUUGCCUCUUUAAAAUAUUGUGAAUUUCCUUAGAAUAUCAAGAUGCCAAAUGUGAGUAGUCAUGCUGUUCUAUAAAUUAUUAUUUUAAUAGUACAGAGAGAAUACAAUUAUGUUUUUAGGACAUGCUUAGAAAAAUUUUUUCAGUAGUGGACAGCUUAGAAACUUUUUCAGUAAUAGAUUGGAAUAGAUGGCCUUGGAGCUUUGCAAUAGAUUCUCUGAAAACUGGGUGCAUGUAAAUGUAAACUUUCCCUAUUCUCACUUCCCUAAAGAAUAGAUAGCCUCUUCCAAUUUGUUGGGCUUUAAAAAAUAUCUGUUAUUUGAGUUAAAGCUGUAUGAUAAAAAUUGUUGGAUAUUCGAUUUAAUUUUAUUCCCCCCUCCCCAAGAUUUUGUGUUAACUGCUACUUUAAUUUGCUUAUUGUGAACUCUUGCGUAUGUGUAGGGGAGAAUGAGCUAUCAGCAAAUAAAAAUCUGUUCCAAAUCUG